AUUGAACGCUGGCGGCAGGCCUAACACAUGCAAGUCGAGCGAGGGGCGGACGGGUGAGGAAUGUAUGGGGACUGCCCGAAAGAGGGGGCUAAAUACAGGAGAAGGUAGCUAAUACCACAUACGAUCGGAUAACCCAUAUGGGAUUAGCUAGUCGGUGAGGUAAUGGCUCACCUAGGCGACGAUCCCUCGCUGGUCUGGGAGGAUGCACAGCCACACUGGGACUGAGACACGGCCCAGACUCCUACGGAGGCAGCAGUGGGGAAUAUUGCACAAUGGGCGCAAGCCUGAUGCAGCCAUGCCGCGUGUAUGAAGAAGGCCCUAGGUUUGUAAAGUACUUUCAGUCGGGAGGCGUUACCGACAGAAGAAGCACCGGCUAACUCCGUGCCAGCAGCCGCGGUAAUUC
rnacentral:rRNA from 1 species